rnacentral:rRNA from 1 species
GUGAAAAGCACCCCGGAAGGGGAGUGAAAUAGAACCUGAAACCGUGUGCUUACAAGUAGUCAGAGCCCGUUAAUGGGUGAUGGCGUGCCUUUUGUAGAAUGAACCGGCGAGUUACGAUUUGAUGCAAGGUUAAGCAGUAAAUGUGGAGCCGUAGCGAAAGCGAGUCUGAAUAGGGCGUUUAGUAUUUGGUCGUAGACCCGAAACCAGGUGAUCUACCCUUGGUCAGGUUGAAGUUCAGGUAACACUGAAUGGAGGACCGAACCGACUUACGUUGAAAAGUGAGCGGAUGAACUGAGGGUAGCGGAGAAAUUCCAAUCGAACCUGGAGAUAGCUGGUUCUCUCCGAAAUAGCUUUAGGGCUAGCCUCAAGUGAUGAUUAUUGGAGGUAGAGCACUGUUUGGACGAGGGGCCCCUCUCGGGUUACCGAAUUCAGACAAACUCCGAAUGCCAAUUAAUUUAACUUGGGAGUCAGAACA